AAAAUUUGGCUACGUAGCUCAGUUGGUUAGAGCACAUCACUCAUAAUGAUGGGGUCACAGGUUCGAAUCCCGUCGUA
rnacentral:tRNA from 1 species